GUUAGGAAUAUUGGACAAUGGGCGCAAGCCUGAUCCAGCCAUGCCGCGUGAGUGAUGAAGGCCUUCGGGUUGUAAAGCUCUUUAGUCCACGAAUAUAAUGACUGUAGUGGAAGAAUAAGCCCCGGCUAACUUCGUGCCAGCAGCCGCGGUAAUACGAAGGGGGCGAGCGUUAUUCGGAAUCACUGGGCGUAAAGCGUGCGUAGGCUGUUUUGUAAGUCAGAAGUGAAAGCCCAGGGCUUAACCCUGGAAUUGCUUUUGAAACUACAAGACUGGAAUUCGGGAGAGGAUAGCGGAAUUGUCAGUGUAGCAGUGAAAUGCGUAGAUAUUGACAGGAACACCAGUGGCGCAAGCGGCUAUCUGGACCGAUAUUGACGCUGAGGCACGAAAGCGUGGGGAGCAAACAGGAUUAGAAACCCCAGUAGUCC
rnacentral:rRNA from 1 species